AGCGAACGCUGGCGGCAGGCCUAACACAUGCAAGUCGAACGAACUCUUCGGAGUUAGUGGCGGACGGGUGAGUAACACGUGGGAACGUGCCUUUUGGUUCGGAAUAACUCAGGGAAACUUGUGCUAAUACCGAAUGUGCCCUUCGGGGGAAAGAUUUAUCGCCAUUAGAGCGGCCCGCGUCUGAUUAGCUAGUUGGUGAGGUAACGGCUCACCAAGGCGACGAUCAGUAGCUGGUCUGAGAGGAUGACCAGCCACACUGGGACUGAGACACGGCCCAGGCUCCUACGGGAGGCAGCAGUGGGGAAUCUUGCGCAAUGGGCGAAAGCCUGACGCAGCCAUGCCGCGUGAAUGAUGAAGGUCUUAGGAUUGUAAAAUUCUUUCACCGGGGACGAUAUUGACGGUACCCGGAGAAGAAGCCCCGGCUAACUUCGUG
rnacentral:rRNA from 1 species